UACGUAGGGUGCAAGCGUUGUCCGGAAUUAUUGGGCGUAAAGAGCUUGUAGGCGGUUUGUCGCGUCUGCUGUGAAAUUUCGGGGCUCAACCCCGAACUUGCAGUGGGUACGGGCAGACUAGAGUGUGGUAGGGGAGACUGGAAUUCCUGGUGUAGCGGUGAAAUGCGCAGAUAUCAGGAGGAACACCGAUGGCGAAGGCAGUCUCUGGGCCAUAACUGACGCUGAGAAGCGAAAGCAUGGGGAGCGAACAGG
rnacentral:rRNA from 1 species